rnacentral:rRNA from 1 species
AACGUAGGAGGCAAGCGUUAUCCGGAGUUACUGGGCGUAAAGGGCGCGCAGGCGGUUGGGUAAGUGGAUGGUGAAAGACCCGUGCUAAACGCGGGGAACGCCGUUCAGACUGCUCGGCUAGAGCCAUCUAGAGGGACGUGGAAUUCGGGGUGUAGCGGUGAAAUGUGUAGAGAUCCCGAGGAACACCAGCGGUGAAGACGGCGUCCUGGGGGUGAGCUGACGCUGAGGCGCGAAGGCGUGGGGAGCCAACGGG